AGCCCUAGGAAGAAGAGAAGUAGCAAUUUCAGAUCUCUAAUAAUAAAGAAAAAUAACCAUCUACUGGUUCUGAAGGGGGAGGGCAUCCCACCUAGUGUUAAGGAAAUUCAGAAUCAAUCGUCAUUUUCAAGUUAAAGCUGAAAAUGAUGCUUGUCACAACUAGACUCUCUCUUCUUUUGUGGAUGGCCUUCCAUCUCCAUCUUCAGGAUGCUUACUUCAACGUUGCUCCUGCUGGAAAUAUCUUCAGCAUGGAAUAAGCCACUGCCAUUACCAAUACAUGAUACUUUCACACUUGCCCUCCCAAUAGCCCCAAGUCUUUACUAAAGUUAAUCAGGAAGGAUGAUGUAGCAGGCCAAGCCUUUCUUUUACAAAGUAAUUAAGGGAAACUUGCUGAGUAAGUGUCACUGCCUUGAUAGUAUAAUGUUGUAUUCUGCAACUUAUAGCCCAUGAAGUCACUUGAUCCAGUCCAUCCUGCUUGCAGAAAUGUUUUUUGUCCUUAUUUAAACAGUCUUUUGCAGGUCAUAAAACAAGGUUUCACUGGUUGACUGUCAGUGCUAAACCUCUUAUCUUUCCACGGAUCCACCUGGGAGACUGAA